UUUCCUUUUUUCUUUUUCUUUUUUUUUUUCUCAGGCUAUCCAUUUGCAGAACUAUGUCAGGGUUGUGGGAUUACACAGGGCUCUGUGUGUGAAUGCUUUCUGUGGGCUCUGUCCUGGAAACCUCUUUUUUCUUGAAAAUGGGCCAAUGGGCCUCUUUCUGCUUUGCACCGCUUGGGGACGACUGUGACCGGGCCACACCAGCCCCCAGUCUACACAUACAGCACUUUGUCAACAAGUUAACAACCUAUAAUUGUGAAGAAAAAGAUGCACCUGGAGAAUUUCGAGAGGACAUUAACCGUGUUUUCAUUGCACUGCUGCACUGGCCUGCAGUCCCACAGUUACAACACUGAAAACUCAAUCUAUUUCCUUGUUACUCAUGAUCCUCCUGGUGAUAUUAAAGGCACAGCACGGUGGUUGACCAAGGAACAGUCACUCUUGCAAUCAGUCUCAGUUCAAAGUAGAGAGAGAGGAACCACAAUCACGCACAAAAGCUUGAGACAUAAGAACUUGUAACCAUGACAGCUGCAUCCUACAAACACUACAGAAGACAGUAACAGCAAUUCCUCCCUGCAAAGCCUGUGUUUACUCAGUUUCCUUUGUAUGCAUUGGCAGUCCCCAUUUAAGUACAGUAUCAGUACCACGACAAAACAGUUUUUAAGGUGUCUUGUCAUCAGAGGAAUGUUGUUGACCCUUCCCUCUUUUCAUGGGGUAAUACAGCAAGUAUUUUCUUUGAUGUGGAUCCUUGAGGCACUGAACAUGUGAACUUUCCAGGACUGCGUUAUUUUAUCUCAAAUAAGGGUCAGGAUUUGCAGGUAGAAAGGGUAUGAUCAACUAGUAAGAAUGGAGGAUUGAAAAAGAUUGACAUGGAAGACGGUUGUCCUGGUUUAGUUGGCAGUUAUACAGACCUGAUGUAGUGGAAAUGUCAUGACCUGAAACGGUGAUUGAGCACCUGGUGGGAAGGCAGGGCCAAUCCAGGGGAGCUCAGGUGCAUGCAAUGCUCCUGAGUGACGAGAAGGGGUGGAGCCAGGAUCCAUUCCCCUCCCAGACCUCAUUUAAGGGUUGGCAGCGGAGGUAAAGGUAUCUUCUGUUGGAGGUUCCUGUCUACUGAGGGUCUUCUACAGGCCAAAUAGGGUGAAAGAAACUGGAGUUACUAUUCUGACCCUGCCAGCCCAAUUUCUCUAGGGUGCCUGGAGGGAAACUAGCACACAGACAUCAAGAGAACAGCAAGGCCAAACGGAAGAGAGCUCAGCUGUCACAGGCUUAUUUCAUCCACCACAGAGAAAAGUGAUCCCAGGUACAUCACCGAGAACUCCUGUGAAACGCACUGACUGCAAUUGACCCCGCAUCCUGCCAAGUCCCAGGAGUGGGACACAAGGUCGGUGUCCCC
ensembl:lncRNA